GCCUCAACCUCCUGGGCUCAAGCCAUCCUUCCAGCUCAUGCGGAUGAUUUAUUCCCAUUUUUCUUGAGACAUGCCAAACAAAUAUUUCCUGUGUUGGACUGUACGGAUGAUCUACGUAAAAUCAGUGACUUAAGAAUACCACCUAACUGGUACCCAGAUGCUAGAGCCAUGCAGCGGAAGAUAAUAUUUCAUUCAGGCCCCACAAACAGUGGAAAGACUUAUCACGCAAUCCAGAAAUACUUCUCAGCAAAGUCUGGAGUGUAUUGUGGCCCUCUAAAAUUACUGGCACAUGAGAUCUUCGAAAAGAGUAAUGCUGCUGGUGUGCCAUGUGACUUGGUGACAGGUGAAGAGCGUGUGACAGUUCAGCCAAAUGGGAAACAGGCUUCACAUGUUUCUUGUACAGUUGAGAUGUGCAGUGUUACAACUCCUUAUGAAGUGGCUGUAAUUGAUGAAAUUCAAAUGAUUAGAGAUCCAGCCAGAGGAUGGGCCUGGACCAGAGCACUUCUAGGACUGUGUGCCGAAGAGGUUCAUUUGUGUGGAGAACCUGCUGCUAUUGACCUGGUGACGGAGCUUAUGUACACAACGGGGGAGGAAGUG
rnacentral:sRNA from 1 species